GGAAGCGCUGAUAUGCGCUCCUGUUUAAUGCAUUCGGGACCCGUCACUCGGUAGUGGUUUACAUUUUUCACUACCGUUAAUCAACCUAGCGAUCCAGCAGGUGUGUUACUGCUAAUGGACUUCCAUUCUGGCUUAUAAUUAGUUUUAAUUAAUUACUAACAUCUGUCAAUUGCACUAAUGAAACAGGAAGUGAGGUCACAUGUCAAUUCAGAUAUAAGGAGCCUGUUUCUAGCCCCUUAAUCACUUCUCUCCUCCUGACUGUGAUGACCAGAUGAUCCAGGGAUAAGCUGUAGCAGAGUGCUGCUAUUGGAUCUUUAUCCAUUUUUUUUUCUGUAUACAUCCCUGUACACAAAUCUGUCAUUUACGCUGUGAGAAGAGAGAUGUUUUUCUAACCCAUUUUUGGGGUCCAUUUUAUUUUGAAUACCGGUAUAGUCUUUGGAUUGUAUAUCGUAAAGAGGUUUUCAAUUCCCCACUCUGUCAGAGUUCUGACUCGUGUUUGAAGAUAACCGAAUAGGGAUCCUAUAGAGAGGCGACAGUUGUUCCAAAAAGCACAGUCCCAUUUUGCAGAGUGGUUUAUGACAGCCUAAACGGUUCUAAAGACCAUUAUAGGUUCCCCAUCAUUUUUAAAAAUCUUCUGAUAGCUCCAUAAGUGGAUACCAGCCGGCCAAACGCUGCUAGACAGUUUUUUAUCCCCUGAAGAAGUCCGCUUAGGAUGAAACGCGUAGGGUGCAUCGAUCAUUGUACACUAUCCUCUCUGCUUCAAGUGUCCUCCUAGAGCUCACACCGUUAGGUGAUUAUUUCUGGUGAGUGGGUUUCUCUGUAGGCCCCAACUGGGAAGACUCUGAGAGGACUAGACCCCAAGAGAACCCACUAUAUGUGGAUGAAUUGAUUAUCACUCAAACAUCAUAUAUUUAUUCUUGGUAAAUCUUGAAACGACAUAAAUGCGCACACGUUGAAUACUCAAUGAGCCCCACUGCCUAAGGACACCGCACCCUCUUCUAGGUUACCUAGUAGAGCUGGAAUGGUGGGUACAAGCCCCAUGGCAAAGAUGGCACCACAUAAGCGGAGAGGGCACAACAAGACCAUACAUAAGUGGAGAUGGUGAUUGGAUGAGCCCCGUUAUGCCUCUAGCAUCCCAAAUGUUUCCGGGCAUAUGAGGUGGAGUAGAUCACAUACCCAUGGAAGUCCUUUGAGGUCACUUGGGAAGAUAUCCAAAUUGAAUGGUGGGAAGAUAAGCAGGAGCAGAUGGUGAUGCUAACAGAUGGCUUUGUUGAAUGCCUCAGGCAGGUUAGAGCUUAAGGUAAGGACCAAUGGAGAAAUGCUGAUACGCCAAGAGAUAUUGUGAUUGGCCCAAGAGGUCUAUGAACAGUGAGCCAAAGAAGAAGCAGCAAAUGCAGAGAUUGCCCAUCCAUCGAGCCAGCCGAGGCCUACUGUAUAUAUCUGUUUCCUUUGCUGACCUUCCAGAUGAGGAACUGGGUAGUUACUGCCAAUAUGCAGAGGAGGCCAGCCUUGACCAGGUGGAUGCUAGAAUGCAUUUCUGUAACCCCUUCUCUCCUCCCAGGUAAAUGUCACAAUGAGACACUCAGUGACCAGCCUGAGCUGUGUUACAUCUGGCCAUUUGCGGGCUUGGAGGAUGAGGAAUUGGCAAGUCAAUGCCAGGUCACAGAGGAUUUACUAGAAAUCCUGGAUCAAGGCUGUUACAGUGACCCCUGUAUGGAUCCUACAGCUGGGUGGAUGUCAGGAGACGCCGCUUGCAAUCGCUUUUUACAGCUGAGGGAGAAGUAGCUGCAGAGCCCGUCUCCGACACAGCUACAGUCAUUGAGUUCCCCUUACACUGACCUUGAGGACCUGCAGAGCGGCAGUGAGACGUUGGGGAAGUCGCCACGAUCACCCUACCACCACUCAAGCAACCAAACCUACAAAGAAAUCACUCAGGUGAGCACCAACCAGACCUAGCUACCUGGCCAUUCACAAUGAUGUGUUUGGUGGAGGGGGAGUUGGCUGAGGGAGAGAACCCGGAGAGGCAUCACUCAGUCCUGACAGCUUCUGUGCAGCCACAUGGUGAAUUACCUGAGAGAACAGCAGACGCGGCUUUUGAGGGGUAAGAGUUGAGAGAUAAAUUGUUGGACUUCACUACUUCCCCAGGUUCAAUUUGUCGCUAGCACUAGGGCAGUAGCCCCAACAUGUUACUGCCAUUGGGCAGAUUAUGGGGAUACAGUCUGGAGAGGUGGGAGAAGAGACCCGCACUGUAUCAGAAGUCACGUCUGAACACCAGCGUGUGCCCGUCCUUAUGCAACUGGCAAUUUUAUGUUUGCCGCCGAUGGAGAAAGUACACACUCCUGAAGCGCCAGAUGUGAGGGAUGCAAUACGCCAUCAGGAGGAAAAAUGCUCCGAGCCUGCGUCACACUGUUUACUUGUUCUCAGGUGGGAGCACACAGAGCGAGUGUGUUUUUAGCCCCAGUGUUACUUGCUACCAGGGACAUGUAAUUGGGAAAGUGUGGAGGACUCAAAAUUGUGGACUGCCAAUCAUAAUUCUACAAGACCCAACAGGCCGCGCACUAGACCCUUCAGUAACAUGGUCCUCAGUACUUCUGUCCCAGGUGGGGUUAUAGCACCAGUUAGACUGUACUAUCCGGAAACAGAGCUAAGAAGUGAGAGAGGAAUGUGAGGAAAUGAGAGGUCUGUGACAAUAUAGUGAUGCCUCAUUUCCUGAGUGAAUAUGUACCUUUUACCCCCAUGCCCCCCCCCCCCCGUAUAACUAUCUACAUUCCAUAUAUGUGAAUGUUCAUUCCUCUUAGUCUGUUGCUGCUCACACACACACUGAAUAUUGGUAAUAUUAUAUACAUAUAAAUAUGAGAUUGUGUUGUCUUAUCUGUUACACUGGGGGGUAUUUCUGUCAGCAUUACAGCUUCCUCUGUUUAUUCCCACCACAGGGGACACUCAAGGGUUGAGUGAAUUAAGGUCCCAUCGUGCAACACACGUGAUCUUUGUUUACCCAAACCACAGUAGAUCUAGCUAUGUGUAAUGUCUCCUCCUUUGUUCCAAAUCUGGUCAGGCAUUGGUGGCUCUCUGUGUCUGAUUUAAUCACCUUGAUUGGAAAAUGUGUAUUAUAUUUAUAUGCCUUAAAACACAGGAGAACAUCAAACACAGCCCUAUAGCCUGAGGAUAAUCUGGGGGUAUACGAUAGAGCAGCUCAGUGUACACGGGAGAUUCUCUGCUCCUACGCUAAGAGGUGCUGCUCUGCCAGGGGCUCAUUGUGGGAACUGACAAGUUGGGUUGUAUUACUGAAGCGUGAUAUGCUGUUUUUCAUACAUUCACCCAUAGCCACUGUUGGUCUUCUUCAUCUACCACUGUGCCUGAGUGAUUUGGAACCCUGUAUCUUCACAUUCUCUAUCUUUCCUGGCACUCACCUUCAUAUUGCUCCCUGCCUCAGGAGCGGUCUGCUAGACUCUAGGCCUGCUUCUAUACAUGGGAACAGUGUCCUUUACUCCAGCUCUUGGCAGGUGUUACAGGUGAAAGUUCUAGCCAACACCGGCAUCCUCUGCUCUGGCCUAUCUUUCCUGCCAGUGACUGUCUAUGCUGUUACAUGGGCGAUCCUUUCACCUCCACAAAUCAUCCUGAGGCUGGCUUGUGUGGGAAGACACUUCCGCUGACUCUGCUUCCAUACCCCUGACAUGAAUCCCCUACUGAGUGUCAAGAAUCAGUAUUCUGCUCAACGAUUCCUUUUAACACGAUGGUGAACUAAUCUGUGGAAGUCAGGUGUUCAUGCUGUUUGUCAGUCUCCCCGAAUCCACUGCUGUCCUCAGUGUACUCCAUUUCAUGAACCCCGAUGGUCUCCCUCCAUUCCAGACACUGAACACCUGGACACCUGCUAUCAGCUGACCGCAGAUUCUCCAACCACAGCCUCCGCAGCAGUCAGCUGAUGCUGCUCUCCAAUCAUUGCUGGCCAGGGGGGGAUAAAAAGGAAGCUCAGGCAAGUAACCAGUGCCUUGAACAACGUAGCUUACUAGACCUACGUCUCCUGGCUCCAGUCCUCUGAGACUUGCUGUCUACCACCAUCCAGUUUCCUAAGGCUACAUCUGAGUUGUGGAACUUCUGGUCUCUGGCAGCUGUGUCUUAGCCAGCUCUCCCUGAGUUAACUCUUUCUGCCUGCAGCGCUAUAGAGGUGUGAGCAUUCGGUGAUUGCAGCAGGUUCUCAGUGCCAGGGGCGGAUUUACCGCAAGGCAACCUAGGCGCUCGCUUAGGGCCUGUAGUCAGGCCCCACGAAAUCCGGCCCAUCCAUCAUGUUUCCUGUUACAGCAGCCAUCCAACUGAGGCCCUGCCCAGUACUCAUCCCAUCACUGACCUCUCCCCAUCCCCACAUAGAUCAAACAACGGCAGGUACUGGGAGGCCUCCCUCAGGUUCUCCCUGAGGAUACUACCGCCGCCGCGACACGCUCAUUCCCCUGCCUCUCCGUCACCUAAUGCUUACCAUGCGCAUCUCCACUAAGUGCUCCUUUCACGGAGCUAUCACCACCCACAGAAAGCAGCCGAGCCCCGUCCAGCCAGUGAUCAGCAGGGAGCCGACUAACACCCAGUUGCUGUUGACAUGGCGGCAGAGACUACAUGGGACACCCGCAGCACCGUCACCCAGGAACAAGGACGCACUAUAUCAGGCAGCAGCAGCUACUAUUCCGCCUGCAGGUCAGGAGCAGCUACAAUGGAGGACAUGUUCCAACUGCACAGACCUACUCCAGGACAUUCUCCAGCAAUAAAGCUCCGUCGCUGAUACAACCAUCAUAGAAACUUCACUUCUAAAUGUUCCAGCUUCAUCUACAUCCACUUACAAGAUCAGCAACACUAUAUCCAGAUUAUUAUAUCACAUGGUUACAGAUGAAUGCGUCUCACCGUGUCACUCCUGCGCCAUCUUCCCACUGCGCUGUCACUGAGUGUAAUCCGCCGGCUCCGCUUCAGUUAUUGGAUUGUAUCAUUAGAACACAAGUACAACGCUUUACCUGAUACACAGGACUCAGUGCAUAAUGGAUAUUAUAUAAUCUGUACGGCUCUGCACAAUACAAAGCGAUAUUGUGUCAUCUGAUCUGUGUUUUGACAUUGGCCAUGGACUGGAACAAAGCAGAAAUAAUGUUACCUGUUGGAAUAAUGGCUACAAUAUGCCGUUUUACAUAUACUCCCUUUACCAAUAAACUUUGUUUUCAGCAUUAUUUUAGUGAUUUGUCUGGAUAAGGGGGAGGCCUGGCUCAGAUAAAAUGCAGCCCACUUCAAAGGCCUGAGAGUUUGCAUGGUAUAUAUACUGUAUUUACACACGUUCUCAAAUGUCUUUGUAACGGUGGAUAUGGAACACUGUAUUCUGGUAUGGGCAGGCCAUUGAUGGAAAACACUGUGGACAGGCACACUGGAAUGGAUGGGCCAUUGAUGGGAUAUACUGUGUACAUGAAUAGCCCAUAAUGUAGUCUGUAUAUGUAUGUAUGUACACUGGAAGGGAUGGCCCAUUGAUGGGAACAAUUAUUUACAUGAAUGGUACAAAAUGUGUUUUGCAUAUACUAAUAUACUGGAAUGGAUGGCUCAUUGAUGGAAUAUACUGUAUACAUUGAUGACACGCAGCGUUGGGUUAUACAAAUUGGCGCUUCUGAUCAUGU